rnacentral:rRNA from 1 species
AUAUUGGACAAUGGGGGCAACCCUGAUCCAGCCAUGCCGCGCGUGUAAAGAAGGUCUUGGGAUUUUAAAGCACUUUAAUUUGGGAGGAAGGGCUUUAGGUUAAUACCUUGAAUUUUUCACGUUACCAACAGAAAAAGCCCCGGCUAACUCUGUGCCGUCGGCCGCGGUAAUACAGAGGGUGCAAGCGUUAAUCGGAAUUAGUGGGCGUAAAGCGCGCGUAGGUGGUUCAGUAAGAUGGGUGUGAAAUCCCCGGGCUUAACCUGGGAACUGCUUUCAUAACUGCUGAGCUAGAGUACGGUAGAGGGUAGUGGAAUUUCCUGUGUAGCGGUGAAAUGCGUAGAUAUAGGAAGGAACACCAGUGGCGAAGGCGACUACCUGGACUGAUACUGACACUGAGGUGCGAAAGCGUGGGGAGCAAAC